AACUCAACUCUAAAGCCAACCUACAUGAAGGGAGAUGUGGCAGAGGGAAAGUCAGUCACCAAUUAAUGAAUUAGUGUUAAGUACUUUAAUUUUAUAAACUUUACCAAACAUAUAACCAUGCCCACACAUUGAUAGAGCCCCUACCAGGGCCUUCGAGGGUCUCAUGCCUUUAGCUUUGUGGUCACCAACCUCUAUAUGCCCUAUAAAUGUGCUGAACAAUUCUGUCCCCCAGACUGGCAAGUAUUACUCAAAAUGAGCAAGAUGGUAGCAGGGAUUUAAGGUUACAAAUUCAGGAGACUCUGGAAGGCAACAACUCCAAACACAGAGAUGAGCUAUGUCUCCUUCAGCAGUGGUGAAUCUAAAUUAAAUGGAGUCUUGAGUAUGUGAUGGUGGCAUGUCAGAAGGAAACUCUUUGUUCUUUCCAUAUUUUGCUGGGUUCCCCACCUCCCAACAUCAGCUGGUUACAUUUGAGUUCACAGCUCCUCUUUGAAAUCGCUGUGAUUUACCUGACUCUGAACUCUUUCAUCUUUCAGAAAAUCCCUUCUUGAAGCACCAUGAUCCACCUAGAGCACUAUGAUACCUGGAGGUAGUAGAGGUCUGUCUGUAUAAUUUUUUUGCUGUAUAAUACUCCAUUCUAUGAAGGUAACAUAAUUUGUUCACCCAUUCUACUGUUGAUGGACAGGUUGCACUAAUCUGUACUCUCACUAACUGAGAAUUCCAAGAGCUCUACAUUCUCAUCACAUCUGACAUUACUAGACUUAAUCAAUUCUAUGAACCUGGUGAGCCUGGGUCUAGUGGAAUGAAUGAACUUGAAGCAAAUCCCCCUCAAGAGAGGCCUACAGACUGUGGCCCCUGUGGAUAGCUUGACUGCAACCUCAUGAGAUCUGGAACCUCUCCUAUAAGUCACUCUGCAUCCUUGACGCAGAGAAGCCCUGAAAGAGAUACGGAGGCUCCUUCCUUGAGCAUCCUUGAGCAUCACCCUCAUAUGGAGAAUUAAAAAUAGCCCUGGGAAGGAAAGGCAGGGAGCAGAGGUGAAGAGAGUGGAACGUUGCUGUUGGUGAAAUGACUGGCAGUGUUUAUUUUCAAUCACAGAGCUGUACACCCAUGCUCACUGAGUGUCUGUCCACAUCCAGG